rnacentral:rRNA from 1 species
AUUGAACUCUGGCGGCAGGCUUAACACAUGCAAGUCGAACGAGUGGCGGACGGGUGAGUAAUGCUUGGGAAUCUAGCUUAUGGAGGGGGAUAACUACGGGAAACUGUCGCUAAUACCGCGUACCAUAGGUUGAGCCCAAGUGGGAUUAGGUAGUUGGUGAGGUAAAGGCUCACCAAGCCGACGAUCUCUAGCUGGUCUGAUAGGAUGACCAGCGAGACUGGGACUGAGACACGGCGCAGACGCCUACGGAAGGCAGCAGUGGGGAAGAUUGCGCAAUGGGGGAAACCUGACGAAGCCAUGCCGCGUGAAUGAAGAAGGCCGUCGGGUUGUAAAGUUCUUUCGGUAGCGAGGCGUUAACUACAGAAGAAGCACCGGCUAACGCCGUGCCAGCAGCCGCGGUAAUUC